rnacentral:tRNA from 1 species
UGCAAGCCACCUUCUUUAUGAAGUGGCCUUCGAUAAAGGCCAAGUAUGCCAAUUCCGUGGGCGGAUGCAA